rnacentral:rRNA from 1 species
GCAGCAGCGUGGAAUCUUGCGCAAUGGCCUAUCGGCUGACGCAGCGACGCCGCGUGUGGGAUGAAGCUCUUCGGAGUGUAAACCACUGUUGCCCGGGACGAAUAGUUCGAUUAAUCGAGCCUGACGGUACCGGGUGAGGAAGCACCGGCUAACUCCGUGCCAGCAGCCGCGGUAAUACGGAGGGUGCGAGCGUUGUCCGGAAUCACUGGGCGUAAAGGGCGCGUAGGUGGUUUGAUAAGUCUGUGGUGAAAGUCCGGGGCUCAACCCCGGAUCUGCCGUGGCGACUGUCAAACUCGAGGACGGUAGAGGCGGGUGGAAUUCCGGGUGUAGCGGUGGAAUGCGUAGAGAUCCGGAGGAACACCGGUGGCGAAGGCGCUCUGCUGACAGUUCUGAC